CAGCAUUCUUUGCUUCAAGAAUGAGCCACACUGCUGACAUGAUCUAAUCGCUAGCACACCCUGAGCACAUGUAAGGAGGAGGAUCCUGAUGAUCAGAAAGAUAUUUAAAGAUGCAUCCGUCACUUGAACAUUCACAAGAUUCUCAGCAUAUACGGUGCAUCUGAUCCUCUGAGCUGGACGUCUGAAGCGAUGAUCACAAACAUGAUUGUGUUGCUGUGUUUGUCUGCACUGUUUCCCGUGUUGAUGGGGACUGAGCCCAACCCUGAUUGUUUUCCUGCCACCGACUGCUCUGACGUUAAUGCGGAAAAAAGUGGCGUGUACACCAUCACCUUAAAAGAUGGAGCGGUGCAGGUCUACUGUGAUGUGGUGUCCGGUGAACAAAAUGACCAAGGACACUGGACGGUACGCAUUUCAAUGUGUUUUAUCUUGCAGAAGGACAUUUUAUUACGAUUUCUAGUAACUUAAAAUUAUUAUUCAAAUAGUCACUCAGUGCUUUUAUUUGUGCUCUUUAUAUCUCAGCAUGAAGAUAAAAGUCUGUUGGAAAACAGUAGAGCUGCCCUCGAAUAAAGAUUUUUCUGGUCGACUAGUAGUCGUUCGUUUGAAGCAUUAGUCGACUAAUCGCACGUUUAUUAAUAAACCAUUACAAUGUAUAAAUAUGAGCUUUUAACUGCCUACAUAGCCUAAUAAGUGCUCAAGGGCACGCAUGAAGCUUGCCACAGCACACUGGCAGAAGUAAUGAUUAUGAAUGUGUCAAGGAAAAACAGCAAGGAGACUGCAUUAACAUUACUAAUUUCUUGAUAAACUAGUGCUUUCUUUGUUUUUGGUUUAAAAGAUGAAGUCGGCGACACUGACUCGCAGUAUGUUUCAUAUGGAUUACACAAUCUGAGGAUAUUGUUUUCCAUUUGAAUUGGUUAAUUUGAAAGUAGACAUUUUGCUCUCUAUAGAUAUCUGUAAGGUAAGUUUACACGGAGUUUCACGCUCAAGUUCACAGAGACCGAGACAGAAAGAGCAUCCUGUUUGCUUCAUUAUUUUACAAAAGCGCAAUGUUUUGUUGUUAUUGUGAGUGCACAUAAAUAAAUAUAGAGUCUUUACAGAUUCAAAAGCUGUAUUACUCUUAUCUGUAUGAGCAAAAAUUAGGGAGUAUUUUAAGAGUAAGUGAGCGCACCGACGCCUUCAUCUGUCCUGCAGUGAGCUACUGUUCAGCUACCACACAGACACUUGAAUAGCGCACAUUUCUCUAGGUUAACAUUAGAUUGAGCGGCCAUGCAAAAUUGCUGCUAUACUAACAUAUUUUAGAUAAGUCGAUGAAUGAUAGGCGAGCGUUUGGAUGUCCUGCCCGAGUACCUUGACCGGCCGUUAACGAUCUCUCCUCACUGAGUGUGUGGCUUUGCCAGUGUGGAAUUUUUUUUUUUUUCUGCGACUAAUAAAAUUCUGGUCGACCAAGCCUCUUCUGGUUGACUAAAGUUUAGUUAAAUAUUAGGGGGCAGCCCUAGAAAACAGUCAUUGAAAUCACUCAGAAAUCACACCACAUAAUUUACAUUUGUUGUUAAACGAAGCUUAUCAAAGGUUGUACACCUUAAACAUCUUUUAAAAGAUGAAUGAUGUGAAAUGAUGAUUGCUGUGUGAAAGCAAUGAAUGACUUCUGAAUGUUUCAGGUGAUUCUCAGGCGAAUGGACGGCGAGGUGAAUUUCUUUAGGCCAUGGGAGAGUUAUAAGAAGGGUUUUGGUAAUAAAGAGCUUUCCUGUAGCUCAAAUAGUAGAGCAUGGCGCUAGCAACGCCAAGAUCAUGGGUUCGAUUCCCAGGGAAAGCAAGAGCUGAUAAAAUGUAAAAAAAAAAAAAAAAAACUACCUUGAAUGCAAUGUAAGUCGCUUUGGAUAAAAAGCGUCUGCUAAAUGCAUAAAUGUAAAUGUAAAUGUAAAGAAGGCGAAUACUGGCUGGGUGAGUGUUUUUGUGACGUUUUGAGCUAAAAAUGAGAAUGACACAAUAAACUUG